UACGUAGGGUGCGAGCGUUGUCCGGAAUUACUGGGCGUAAAGAGCUCGUAGGUGGUUUGUCGCGUUGUUCGUGAAAACUCACAGCUCAACUGUGGGCGUGCGGGCGAUACGGGCGAGACUGGAGUACUGCAGGGGAGACUGGAAUUCCUGGUGUAGCGGUGGAAUGCGCAGAUAUCAGGAGGAACACCGGUGGCGAAGGCGGGUCUCUGGGCAGUAACUGACGCUGAGGAGCGAAAGCGUGGGGGAGCGAACAGG
rnacentral:rRNA from 1 species